rnacentral:tRNA from 1 species
GCCUGAGUGGCUCAGUCGGUUGAGCGUCCGACUUCGGCUCGGGUCAUGAUCUCAAGGUUUGUGAGUUCGAGCCCCGCGUCAGGCU